UCAAAAGAGGAAACAACAUUAUCGAAAUUGUUACUUUUCGGUGAGGCGGUUCAAAUAUUUUAACGUUUUAUUAAUAAAAGUGAAAAUUAUAAAAAAAAAAAAAUACCCGCAAUGCAUUCACUGGCGGAAUGGUUUGAUGCGAAAGAAGUUCAAGUGUUGCGGCGAGUGUAAUUGAGAUCUAUUGCAGCCAGCAUUUCGGUGAUUUUUACCAUAAAAUGGCGUGUGGUCCCGGCUGGUCCGACCAGUGUUCAAAUGUAAAUGAGUGUUCUCCUCAAAGAUACUACUGCGGUGGCGUUGAUAGGUAACCUAAAUGCAGGUAGCGUGGUAAUGUCUGUUCCAAAUAUUUUAUAUAAUCCUUUGAAUAGUACAAUCUACGCCGAAAG